rnacentral:rRNA from 1 species
ACCGCUAUCCGGAUUCGACUAAGCCAUGCGAGUUGAGAGUCUUCGGGACUCGACGAACUGCUCAGUAAUAUGUAGUUAACUUACCCUAAGGUCAGGGAUAAUCUCGGGAAACUGAGGCUAAUACCUGAUAGUUAUUCUGGUCUGGAAUGAUAGUAUAUCUAAAGAUCCGUCGCCUUAGGAUAGGACUAUAGCCUAUCAGCCUGUUGGGGGCGUAAUGUACUCCCAAAGCUAUAACGGGUACGGGCCAUGAGAGUGGAAGCCCGGAGAUGGAUUCUGAGACAUGAAUCCAGGUCCUACGGGACGCAGCAGGCGCGAAACCUUCACUAUGCAUUAACGUGCGAUGAGGGAAUCUGGAGUGCUUAUGCUUUGCAUAAGCUUUUGCUAAGUCGAAAUAGCUUGGCGAAUAAGGGGUGGGUAAGACAGGUGCCAGCCGCCGCGGUAAUACCUGCGCCCCGAGUGGUAUCCCGUAUUAGUUGGUCUAAAGCGACCGUAGCCGGCCUAAUAAGUUCCUGAUGAAAUUCAUUAGAAAACUGGUGAGCUUGUCGGGAAUACUAUUAGACUUGGGAUCGGGAGAGGCUAGAGGUACUGCUGGGGAAGGGGUAAAAUCCUAUAAUCCCAGUGGGACCGCCUGUGGCGAAGGCGUCUAGCUAGAACGAGUCCGACGGUGAGGGACGAAACCUAGGGUAGCGAUCGGGAUUAGAUACCCCGGUAGUCCUAGGCGU